AGUCAUAGUCUAUAUUGAAAACGUGACUCAAUAGUCACAGUCUAUAUUGAUAGCGUGACUCAAUGGUCACAGUCUAAAUUAACAGCGUGACUCAACAGUCACCGUCUAUUUUGAGAGCGUGACUCAAUGGUCACAGUCUAUAUUUACAGCAUGACUCAAUAGUCACAGUCUAUAUUGAUAGAGUGACUCAACAGUCAAAGUCUAUAUUGAAAACGUGACUCAAUGGUCACAGUCUAUAUUGAAAGAGUGACUCAAUGGUCACCGUCUGUUGUUAGCGUGACUCAAUGAUCACCGUCCAUUGAAAGCUGGCAUGACGACGACAAUUAUGAUGACGAUGAUCGUGAUGAUCGUUGGGAUGAUGAUAAUUGUGAUAAGGAUGAUAUGAAAGAGGCCUGGCGCUGGCCGUCCCCCCUCUCUUCGCUGCACGCAGACGCUUGCUAGAGGUCCACAAGUUCAAGGUCAUGACGGCGAGAAACACCAUGAUAAUGAUAACACCGCACACGCUAAUGCCCAUGAUAGAUCUACGUACCCCAUGACGCACUAGGGCCUGUGCAUCGACCUCUGACGAGUUAGCAGCCAUGUCCUAGGAGGAGAAGCAAAUAAGGAAGCAUUUCUGCCAGGAUAAAAAUAGUUCCAUACUGCUUGCUUUUGACUGGGAUGCAUCGCAAUAUUUUUUGGUAAAGUGAAAACGCCUAUAGAACCUAUAGAACCGUGGCCUAAUGAAGGAAUUAUUCCAUACUAUUGGACCUGUAAGCUUUUAUACAGGAGUGUGAUUUUUAAAGAUUUUUUACAUUUUUUAACAAUGAAGAAAAAGGGUACAUUUAUUUUAACAGUGCGGCAUUUUUAAAGGCUGAAUUCUUGAAGCUUUUUUGAAAGCUAGGCCGUUUUGAAAGCUGAAGAGGUUAAGCCGCCCGUGAAAACAGCGCCAACAUCGACCGUCGAUGCAGCAUUAAGCUGGUAUAAGGUGACCAGUUGGCGUUUCUACUUACAGAACCUCUCAAUAUCGUGUAUAAACAGAGCCAGCAUAUUGCUGUUUACGCCAGAUCUGUUAACACACCGUGUUAGGAGAUGCUGUAAAGUCGCCAAUAUCUCCUAGACCCGCUAGCCGAUCAUUGUGUUGUUCGCCUGGGGCUUUUAUUUAAUAAGGCAGUACCAUAUCUUUUAGUAUAUUGUGUUACUUAUCAACUCUUUAUAUCGUCCCACCAAAAUGAAAUAUAUAAAUUAUAAUAUUUUA